UAGGUACAAACAUAAAAUACACAUAACUUGCUUUAAAAAUAAAAUAUAAAUAAAUAUACCUGUAAGGUUCUUUAGAAAAUAUUUUUACUCUAUGUUUAUUAAAGCUAACAUUACAAAAUUUGAUCUGCUCUACACAAAUUUGCUAUGUUGCUCAUAGGUAAUAUAUUGCGGAACCAGUAUCUAAUUUUAAUAGCACGGAGCAUCUGAACAUAUUUAAAUUUCAAAGAAUACAUAACAAGUUUGGAAAUUCAGUGUUCUGAAAAUUGGAUGUGAUUCAUUUUGGGACAUUGCUGUCAGCAAAAGAGGGUUUCCAAGUUCCAGAUUAAAUAGGAUAUUAUGGACUACUCAAUUAUGUUUUCUUCAGUUCAUACAUAUAUUUUGUCAUUACCAGUUUCGGAUAGAUGAAAUUUCACAACUGAAUAAUGAUUAAUUUUAAUUUUUGAAAUGAAUUAUUAUUGCGAGGAAUGAAACAUUUAAUUAUUGUUAAGAUUGUAAGAAACAAACUAUUGUUUAUAAAUUAAGUUAAGUUGUACUUUUGUAAACGUUUACAGUCAACUUUUGACUUAGAACAAUCUUGUGUUCACUGAAAUUAGCUUAUCUUGAGUUGAUUAUAUUCAUUAACAUGCCCACAAUUGC